rnacentral:lncRNA from 1 species
ACUCCCUCCGUCCCAGUCAAUUCUAUACAGUUUCCUUUUUGGGACGUCCCAUCAUUUCUAUACAUUCCAAAAAUAGUAACUUUUAAUAAUAUAAAACACUAUUACACCUACUACUUUCUUCAACUAUCUUCAUUCUAUAAUAAUAUAAACACUAUUACACCCACUACUUUCCUCCACUAUCUCAAAUCUAUCAUUAAAUAUAAAUGGGUCCCACCACUUUACCCACUUUUCCUCUAACUUUACUCACUUUUUACACUUUUUCUUGGUCUCCGUGUCCAAACCAUUUGUAUAUAAAUGAUUGGGACGGAGGGAGUA